GCAGAUGUUUGCUAUGUUGGAGGAAUCGGGACGGCCUGGUGGAAAACUGAUGGACAGAACUUCGGUCUGCUUCAUAAGUGGAGAAGUUUUUGGAGAAGCCACCGAUGACCUGGAGAGUAGACGUUAAGCAAGUUUAGGUAGUACCGCAAUGGAAGGGUCGAAUGCAGCGCUCAAGCCGAGACUCAGGUUUGACUGGAUGGGCAGUCAACUCGUGAACUUGUGAAUUAUCAUUAAACUUUAUCAUUAUCUUUAAAAUGUAACACAUUUUUUGUGUCAGAGAUAUCAUUAUAGAACAAGAGCAGAAGAGAAAGAAUACUACUUAAACAAUUACAAAAAACACAUUCGUUCUCAAUUUUGUAUAGAAUUUAUUUUGCAUUUUUUGUAAAUGUUUAAACAGUCUUUUCAUCAUUUGAAGUGACCAUCUGUUAUGUGGCGUAAACAAUGUUGCUGUCCAACAGGAUUCGAAGAACUAGUCAGGAGCCACAGGUUCAAAACUGAGAGUAUUUACUAGAGUUCAAUUACACAGGGUGGUAAAGCUCAAUGAAUAGAAGAACACCUCCCUUUUCUUCAAUCGUAUUGUAUGAUACUCUUCACUAAGAGUGUGUGCCUACAUAUUCUAGGUUUUAUGCAUUACCAUUACCAUCUAUGUACUUCUCCAGUUGAUAUCUAUGAAAAACCUUCAACAUUACCAAAUACUGCGCAUGCAUUUUACAAUUUACAAAUACAGAAUAAAAUGGUACACAACACAGCUCAAGUCAACAUUACAGUUUGUGGGAAAAAAGGCCUAAUACAUCAUUCUUAAAACAGUUUCAAUUUUAAGGCUUUUAGAGGCUUUUUAAAGCUACAAGAAUAGGGAGACAUUAGAAAACAUAAAUGUGAGAUCAUGGCUUACAGAAAUAUAUACCUGUAAUACUGAUAUGUUGUUAAACCCUUAAGCAUGGUAAAAAUGAAUUCAGGUAAUAUUACAAACAUUU